rnacentral:rRNA from 1 species
AGAGUUUGAUCCUGGCUCAGAACGAACGCUGGCGGCGUGCCUAACACAUGCAAGUCGAACGCGAAAAGCAGUAAUGCUGAGUAGAGUGGCGCACGGGUGAGUAACACGUAACUGACAUGUCCCUGAGACAAGGAUAACCGUUCGAAAGGAUGGCUAAUACUUGGUAAGCCCCCGGGUUAGGACCUGAGGGAAAAGGGUCGGGACCUUUCGAGGCCGAUCGCUUAGGGAGUGGGUUGCGGCCCAUCAGCUAGUUGGUGAGGUAAUGGCUCACCAAGGCUAAGACGGGUAGCUGGUCUGAGAGGAUGAUCAGCCACACUGGAACUGAGACACGGUCCAGACUCCUACGGGAGGCAGCAGUGGGGAAUCUUGCGCAAUGGGAGAAAUCCUGACGCAGCAACGCCGCGUGGGUGAUGAAGGUCUUCGGAUCGUAAAGCCCUGUCGGAGGGGAAGAUGCUUUCUGUCGCUAAUAUCGGCAGGAGGUGACGGUACCCUCAAA